AGACCAGUGAUCUUUCGCUCCACA
rnacentral:siRNA from 1 species